GACGAACCGUGCGAACGUUGUUCGGAAUCACUGGGCUUAAAGGGCGCGUAGGCGGGCCUUCAAGUCCGGGGUGAAAUCCUCCCGCUUAACGGGAGAAGAGCCUCGGAGACUGAGGGCCUCGAGGGAGGUAGGGGCGUGCGGAACUAUGGGUGGAGCGGUGAAAUGCAUUGAUAUCCAUAGGAACACCGGUGGCGAAGGCGGCAUCCUGGACCGGUAUUGACGCUGAUGCGCGAAAGCCAGGGGAGCAAACGGG
rnacentral:rRNA from 1 species